rnacentral:rRNA from 1 species
CGGCGGACGGGUGAGUAAACGUGGGUAACCUGCCUGUAAGACUGGGAUAACUCCGGGAAACCGGAGCUAAUACCGGAUAGUUCCUUGAACCGCAUGGUUCAAGGAUGAAAGACGGUUUCGGCUGUCACUUACAGAUGGACCCGCGGCGCAUUAGCUAGUUGGUGAGGUAACGGCUCACCAAGGCGACGAUGCGUAGCCGACCUGAGAGGGUGAUCGGCCACACUGGGACUGAGACACGGCCCAGACUCCUACGGGAGGCAGC